GUGUUGUGUGAAAGAAGAGAAGGUUAACACUCCCUUUGACAAGGAAGGAAGAGGCCCUUGGGCCUCAAAUAAAAAAUGUGGUGGUGCACACCUUUAAUCCCAGCACUCUUU
rnacentral:ncRNA from 1 species